rnacentral:lncRNA from 1 species
AUCUCCCAGCCGUGUUCCCAAGAACCAGACUUCCUGCAGUUUGCCCCCUGCUAGGUAUCAGGUUCCUAGGCAUUGUGUGGCUAGCCCUGGCUGUACCCAACACAGAAUGUGUGAAACUUGGGGUGCCUCCAGGAAGACAGUUCAAACCCAAAGGUUUACUCUACUGUCCAGCGAUAGGAUGUUUUGGUUUCAGUCAGGAAGUAGAGGCAUGGGGAGCAGAGCAGAGCAGGAGAGCCAAGGUCAGUUUGGGGAUGGCCUCACAGGCUCUUCUGAGAAACAGAUAAAUUCAAGCACAAAGCUAGACAAGUUGCAGACUCCCAGAGGGGAGAUGGGAGGCCUGAGACAUGU